CUCUGAUUUGAACCACCCACUCCUUCUAAAAAGUCUGCCUCCCCAAGAGACUCACAGCAGCUUGCCCUGGACAAGACCAAAAAAGACAAUGGAUGUGGUCCGCCUUGGGAGUCCCCAAGGGCUGUGCAACAAAGUCAAGUCACCGUCCACCCUUCAGCUCUGAGCUAGAAUCUCAGCAGACACAUCUGGGCCAGGUCCACAAGGACAAGGACUGUGGCUGGCUUCACUAACCACGGUAGUGCAAGCACCACACCUGGGCAGCAGGAAGCCCCGCACCAAGAUUUGUUGAGUGAAUGAAUGAGGUAGUGAAUGAAGCAGGAGGCCAUAAACGCUGAGGGUGUACACCUGCCUCCCUCCCGCAUCUCCUACCCACCCUAUGAGGAGGGAGGGGAGGCAGCAGGAGAGCUGGGCUACCUGGGGUAGAGUCCAGGUUCUGCUACUUACUAGGUAACCUGUGCCUCUGCGUCCUCCGCUGUAAAACGGGGUCUGUGGGGUUGUCCUGAGAAUUAAAUGAGUUAACAUUUGUAAAGUA
ensembl:lncRNA novel transcript